CAAUUUCUUAAAAUAUCAGAACUCAGAGCACAUGGAGCCCCAGAGAAGAGCGGAAAAUCCAGCGUGCUUCACAAGCACUGAAACCAGAAAUAACCAAAGUGUCCACGGAUGGGCGGCUGGAUACAAAGCCAGCGUGUAGUCAUAAAGGGAUGCAGCGAACGAUGAAUGUGAACAAACCUUUGCUGUAUGAACAGGAUGACUGACGCUCACAGCUCAACGUGGAGUGAAGGAAGCCAGACCUGGGGAAGCCCCCGCUGUAUGGUCCGUCUGACGGAAGUCAAAAGCAGGAGAAAACUGGUCUGCAGUGUAGGAAGUUGAAACAGUGGAUGCCUCUGAGGUUGGGGUACGGGGGCUUUGGGGGUGAGAAACAUUCUAUUUCUUGAUCCGGGUUCUGGCA
rnacentral:lncRNA from 1 species